rnacentral:rRNA from 1 species
UACGUGGGGGGCAAGCGUUGUCCGGAUUUAUUGGGCGUAAAGAGCUCGUAGGCGGUUCGGUAAGUUGGGUGUGAAACCUCCAGGCUCAACCUGGAGACGCCACCCGAUACUGCUGUGACUAGAGUCCGGUAGGGGAGCGUGGAAUUCCUGGUGUAGCGGUGAAAUGCGCAGAUAUCAGGAGGAACACCAGCGGCGAAGGCGGCGCGCUGGGCCGGAACUGACGCUGAGGAGCGAAAGCGUGGGUAGCAAACAGG